AGCUCCAAUAGCGUAUAUUUAAGUUGUUGCAGUUAAAAAGCUCGUAGUUGGAUUUCGGGUGGGGUGGUGCGGUCCGCCUCUGGUGUGCACUGCUCCGCUCCACCUUCCUGCCGGGGACGGGCUCCUGGGCUUCACUGUCUGGGACUCGGAGUCGGCGAGGUUACUUUGAGUAAAUUAGAGUGUUCAAAGCAAGCCUACGCUCUGAAUACAUUAGCAUGGAAUAACACGAUAGGACUCUGGCCUAUCUGUUGGUCUGUGGGACCGGAGUAAUGAUUAAGAGGGGUAGUCGGGGGCAUUCGUAUUCCGUUGUCAGAGGUGAAAUUCUUGGAUUUACGGAAGACGAACAUCUGCGAAAGCAUUUGCCAAGGAUACUUUCA
rnacentral:rRNA from 1 species